rnacentral:rRNA from 1 species
UACAGAGGUCCCAAGCGUUGUUCGGAUUCACUGGGCGUAAAGGGUGCGUAGGCGGUCGGGUAAGUCUGAUGUGAAAUCUCACAGCUUAACUGUGAAACUGCAUUGGAUACUAUCCGGCUCGAGGAAUGGAGGGGAGACUGGAAUACUUGGUGUAGCAGUGAAAUGCGUAGAUAUCAAGUGGAGCACCAGUGGCGAAGGCGAGUCUCUGGACAUUUCCUGACGCUGAGGCACGAAAGCCAGGGGAGCAAACGGG